rnacentral:rRNA from 1 species
UACAGAGGUGGCAAGCGUUGUUCGGAAUUACUGGGCGUAAAGGGCGCGUAGGCGGCCUUCUAAGUCGGACGUGAAAUCCCCAGGCUUAACUUGGGAACUGCGUCUGAUACUGGGAGGCUUGAGUGCGGGAGAGGGAUGUGGAAUUCCAGGUGUAGCGGUGAAAUGCGUAGAUAUCUGGAGGAACACCGGUGGCGAAGGCGGCAUCCUGGACCGACACUGACGCUGAGGCGCGAAAGCCAGGGGAGCAAACGGG